rnacentral:lncRNA from 10 species
ACAAGACUGGGGACUGGGAUAGCUUUGUAACAAAUAGAGGAUGUCUGGAAAAGUGAAGAGAUUAUAAAAAUACCUGAAUAUGUUUGUCACUUCCUUUAUGAAGACCUUCUUGAACACACAUGAAGUCGAAGAUGCUCCAUUCUGGGUCCCUUCAGAAAGGCCUCAGUGUAUCUCUGUUCUGGCACCAACACUCUCCAUCACUAUGCCAUGAAUGUGGGUACAAACCUCUCCUGCUGCACCAUAGGCUUCUGGAAGCAGGGAUUGUUCAUAGCUAUCAUUGUGUCAGCAAAAUCUCUCACCAUGAAUGACACCAAGCAGUUAUGAACAAAUGCCUGAUGAGUGGCUGGAAAGUUUUCAUUCUUUACUGGUUUAAGAAAUAUUAAUUUAUUGGUUUGUUUGUUUAAAAUAUUUGUUGGCACUUUGCAGAUGCCACUUCCACUGAUGUCACCACUGCCA